rnacentral:rRNA from 1 species
GACGAACGCUGGCGGCGUGCUUAACACAUGCGAGUCGAACGGAAAGGCCCUGCUUUUGUGGGGUGCUCGAGUGGCGAACGGGUGAGUAACACGUGAGUAACCUGCCCUUGACUUUGGGAUAACUUCAGGAAACUGGGGCUAAUACCGGAUAGGAGCUCCUGCUGCAUGGUGGGGGUUGGAAAGUUUCGGCGGUUGGGGAUGGACUCGCGGCUUAUCAGCUUGUUGGUGUGGUAGUGGCUUACCAAGGCUUUGACGGGUAGCCGGCCUGAGAGGGUGACCGGCCACAUUGGGACUGAGAUACGGCCCAGACUCCUACGGGAGGCAGCAGUGGGGAAUAUUGCACAAUGGGCGGAAGCCUGAUGCAGCAACGCCGCGUGCGGGAUGACGGCCUUCGGGUUGUAAACCGCUUUCGCCUGUGACGAAGCGUGAGUGACGGUAAUGGGUAAAGAAGCACCGGCUAACUACGUG